UACGAAGGGGGCUAGCGUUGCUCGGAAUCACUGGGCGUAAAGGGCGCGUAGGCGGCGUUUUUAAGUCGGGGGUGAAAGCCUGUGGCUCAACCACAGAAUGGCCUUCGAUACUGGGACGCUUGAGUAUGGUAGAGGUUGGUGGAACUGCGAGUGUAGAGGUGAAAUUCGUAGAUAUUCGCAAGAACACCGGUGGCGAAGGCGGCCAACUGGACCAUUACUGGACGCUGAGGAGCGAAAGCGUGGGGAGCGAACAGGG
rnacentral:rRNA from 1 species